rnacentral:lncRNA from 1 species
AGGCCUAAGACACCAUUCAUGAAAGUGGUAAAGCUAACAUGUUUUCUUUGCCAUCAUUUACUGUCCAGCACCUAUGUUCCAAACAUAGAUUCCCCACAUUCCCGGGAAGCCAGUAUUACUAUCCUCCUUCUUGUUUGUCCUACAGAUAAACAGCCUGGGCUCAGAGGUAAUAAAUAAGGUGCCAAGGCCACACCUGUUCGGAGUGGAUGUUGAAGUCUGUGUUACUUCAGUUCUAUCUCCUAUUCCCAGUCCAUUCUGCAGAUGAGAAAACUGAGACCCACACAGUGUACAUGCUGAUCUUAAUGAGAAUGAUGACAAUAACGGGAGGAAAAAAAUGAGCAGAAACUGCUAACAUCUGGAGGCUGCUGUCCAGUUUACGUAAUCUCUUGCUGCAGAGGAGGAACACGGGAUCCCCAGCCAGAUGGUCCGUGGGUGACUUCACAGCACAUGUGCUACCUCCAAGACAGGGUUCUCUGAGGAACAAGGACCUUCCAGAGUGAUGCUUUUCCCUAGUGGCAGCCUUGGCCAGGGCAACAGACAUCUGCACAAACGCAGGGUGUUGAAGCAGCUGUUCUGAGAUGCAGUGCCUGAGAAUCUGGGAUCCACAAUGUGAACUUCUCAACAACCCCUGCACCUGCCACUUCCCUGAAUCUUCCACUAAGCACCAGAAGACACAUGCAUUUUAAAUCAAAGGAAUGUGAGUUGGAAUUUCAGCUUCUGCCAUUCACUGACAACAUGGCCUUGAACCCUUCAUAAACUCUAAUAUCUUCCACUGCAGAAUGAGAUGAUGGUACCUAUGUUGUAGCAUUGUGAGGAUUCAAAGAGCUCUUGCACAUGCAAAUAUUUAGAUACACCCUACUCACUAAAAAUACAAAAUUGACAUUUUCCUCCAUCACUUGCUGCUUCUUUCUUCCUGGCUGUAGAGGGACAUGGUUCUGGUUUCAAAUUCUAGACUUCCCUGUUCUACCACUGGGCUACCUGUAGAACUUGGGUAAGUGACCUAACCUUUGUGAGUCUUAAUUACAGUAGUUACCUCAUACAGUGGUUGACAGGUUUAAAUGUACAAAAAACAGUGUAGAGUUCUCUACAUAAUGUAAUCACUCUGACAGCCAAGCCAUUCUCUUUACUCUACUCAUCAUUAUCAAUUUCUGUGAUUACUAUUACAUUAUGGUUAUUACUGGUAUUUGUUGUUAUUGUGUAGUCCUUCCUUUUUCUCUGUCUCUUCAUUCUAUAUUCCUUCUUUCCUUUUACCUCUACCUCUUCUUCCUCCCAUCUUUCUUCCUCUUACUCCUUCACACCCUCCUGUGCUGGGCCUUGUAUUGGGAGAUCUCUCUGAAGGUGAACCACAUUCUCAAGUCAGAAAGGAAGACCCUUAGAUUUCCAUCCAUCUCUGUAGGAAGCCAAUCACAGGAAAAUUGCUUAGACCCCAAUCUUUCCUGCAAAAACAAGAAGCAAAGGGUAGAGCUUCCUUCCUGGCGCUCAGCCUCCAGAAGCUGUUUCCUACUUUUUGCCCAAAGCUGUUAGCAGA